GUAGGGUGCAAGCGUUAUCCGGAAUCAUUGGGCGUAAAGAGCUCGUAGGCGGUUCAGCAAGUCGGCUGUGAAAUCCCGAGGGCUUAACCUCGGAACUGCAGUCGAUACUGCUGUGACUAGAGUCCGGUAGAGGAGAAUGGAAUUCCCGGUGUAGCGGUGAAAUGCGCAGAUAUCGGGAGGAACACCAGUAGCGAAGGCGGUUCUCUGGGCCGGUACUGACGCUGAGGAGCGAAAGCGUGGGUAGCAAACAGGAUUAGAUACCCUGGUAGCCCACGCCGUAAACGUUGGACACUAGGUGUGGCGUUCCGACCAACGGGUGCCGUGCCGAAGCUAACGCAUUAAGUGUCCCGCCUGGGGAGUACGGCCGCAAGGCUA
rnacentral:rRNA from 1 species